rnacentral:rRNA from 1 species
CCUACGGGAGGCAGCAGUAAGGAAUAUUGCACAAUGGGCGCAAGCCUGAUGCAGCAACGCCGCGUGCCCGAGGACGGCCUUCGGGUUGUAAAGGGCUUUUCUGGCUGACGAGGAAGGACGGUAGGCCAGGAAUAAGCGUCGGCUAACUACGUGCCAGCAGCCGCGGUAAU